AAUGAACGUUGGCGGCGUGGAUUAGGCAUGCAAGUCGUGCGGAAAGGCUCCUUCGGGAGUACUCGAGCGGCGUAAGGGAGAGUAACGCGUGGAUAUCUACCCCCUGGUCUGGGAUAGCGGCGGGAAACUGCCGGUAAUACCAGAUAAUGUCUGCGGACCAAAGGUGUGAUUCCGCCGGGGGAUGAGUUCGCGUCCUAUUAGCUAGUUGGUGGGGUAAUGGCCUACCAAGGCAAAGAUGGGUACCGGGUGUGAGAGCAUGGCCCGGCUCACUGGGACUGAGACACUGCCCAGACACCUACGGGUGGCAG
rnacentral:rRNA from 1 species